rnacentral:rRNA from 1 species
AUUGAACGCUGGCGGCAGGCCUAACACAUGCAAGUCGAGCGGAUGAAGGGAGCUUGCUCCUGGAUUCAGCGGCGGACGGGUGAGUAAUGCCUAGGAAUCUGCCUGGUAGUGGGGGAUAACGUCCGGAAACGGGCGCUAAUACCGCAUACGUCCUGAGGGAGAAAGUGGGGGAUCUUCGGACCUCACGCUAUCAGAUGAGCCUAGGUCGGAUUAGCUAGUUGGUGGGGUAAAGGCCUACCAAGGCGACGAUCCGUAACUGGUCUGAGAGGAUGAUCAGUCACCCGGGAACUGGGAACCGGUCCAGCCCCCUAGGGGGGGCAGCGGUGGGGAAUUUUGGAAAAUGGGCGAAAGCCUGAUCCAGCCAUGCCGCGUGGGUGAAGAAGGUCUUCGGUUUGUAAAGCCCUUUAAUUGGGGGGGAAGGGAAGUAAGUUAAACCCUUGCUUUUUUGACGUUACCGAAAAAAAAAGCCCCGCCUAACUCCGU